rnacentral:piRNA from 1 species
GAUGUCUAUAGUAACCU